GUGCUCGCUUCGGCAGCACAUAUACUAAAAUUGGAACCAUACAAAGUAGAUUAGCAGGGCCCCUGUGCAAGGAUGACACGCAAAUUCGUUAAGUGUUAAAAAAACAA
rnacentral:snRNA from 1 species